AUUGAACGCUGGCGGCAGGCCUAACACAUGCAAGUCGAACGAGAGGCGGACGGGUGAGUAAUGUAUGGGGAACUGCCUGAUAGAGGGGGAUAACUACUGGAAACGGUGGCUAAUACCGCAUACCAUCGGAUGUACCCAUAUGGGAUUAGCUAGUAGGUGGGGUAAAGGCUCACCUAGGCGACGAUCCCUAGCUGGUCUGAGAGGAUGACCAGCCACACUGGAACUGAGACACGGCCCAGACUCCUACGGGAGGCAGCAGUGGGGAAUAUUGCACAAUGGGCGCAAGCCUGAUGCAGCCAUGCCGCGUGUAUGAAGAAGGCCUUCGGGUUGUAAAGUACUUUCAGCGGGGAGGCGUUACCCGCAGAAGAAGCACCGGCUAACUCCGUGCCAGCAGCCGCGGUAAUUC
rnacentral:rRNA from 1 species